rnacentral:rRNA from 5 species
GGUUAAGCGACUAAGCGUACACGGUGGAUGCCCUGGCAGUCAGAGGCGAUGAAGGACGUGCUAAUCUGCGAAAAGCGUCGGUAAGGUGAUAUGAACCGUUAUAGCCG